AUUGCUCUAGUCCAGUCAGGAUACCUGGCUUUCACCCAGGCGACUCGGGUUCAAAUCCCGUCAAUG
rnacentral:tRNA from 1 species